rnacentral:tRNA from 1 species
GCGGAUGUGGCGGAACUGGCAGACGCGCAAGGUUCAGGUCCUUGUGGCCCACAAGGCCGUGGAGGUUCGACUCCUCUCAUCCGCA